rnacentral:rRNA from 1 species
GUGCCAGCCGCCGCGGUAAUACCGGCAGCCCGAGUGAUGGCCGAUAUUAUUGGGCCUAAAGCGUUCGUAGCCGGCCAGUCAAGUCUGUUGGGAAAUCCACGCGCUCAACGCGUGGGCGUCCAGCGGAAACUGUCUGGCUUGGGGCCGGAGGACUCGAGGGGUACGUCCGGGGUAGGAGUGAAAUCCCGUAAUCCUGGACGGACCACCGGUGGCGAAAGCACUUCGAGAAAACGGAUCCGACAGUGAGGGACGAAAGCCAGGGUCUCCAACCGGAUUAGAUACCCUGGUAGUCC